rnacentral:miRNA from 1 species
UUUGGCACCAUGGGACUCUAAU